GAUGAACGCUGGCGGCGUGCCUAAUACAUGCAAGUCGAACGAGUUCUGAUUAUUGAAAGGUGCUUGCAUCUUGAUUUAAUUUUGAACGAGUGGCGGACGGGUGAGUAACACGUGGGUAACCUGCCCUUAAGUGGGGGAUAACAUUUGGAAACAGAUGCUAAUACCGCAUAAAUCCAAGAACCGCAUGGUUCUUGGCUGAAAGAUGGCGUAAGCUAUCGCUUUUGGAUGGACCCGCGGCGUAUUAGCUAGUUGGUGAGGUAACGGCUCACCAAGGCAAUGAUACGUAGCCGAACUGAGAGGUUGAUCGGCCACAUUGGGACUGAGACACGGCCCAAACUCCUACGGGAGGCAGCAGUAGGGAAUCUUCCACAAUGGACGCAAGUCUGAUGGAGCAACGCCGCGUGAGUGAAGAAGGCUUUCGGGUCGUAAAACUCUGUUGUUGGAGAAGAAUGGUCGGCAGAGUAACUGUUGUCGGCGUGACGGUAUCCAACCAGAAAGCCACGGCUAACUACGUGCCAGCAGCCGCGGUAAUACGUAGGUGGCAAGCGUUAUCCGGAUUUAUUGGGCGUAAAGCGAGCGCAGGCGGUUUUUUAAGUCUGAUGUGAAAGCCCUCGGCUUAACCGAGGAAGUGCAUCGGAAACUGGGAAACUUGAGUGCAGAAGAGGACAGUGGAACUCCAUGUGUAGCGGUGAAAUGCGUAGAUAUAUGGAAGAACACCAGUGGCGAAGGCGGCUGUCUGGUCUGUAACUGACGCUGAGGCUCGAAAGCAUGGGUAGCGAACAGGAUUAGAUACCCUGGUAGUCCAUGCCGUAAACGAUGAAUGCUAGGUGUUGGAGGGUUUCCGCCCUUCAGUGCCGCAGCUAACGCAUUAAGCAUUCCGCCUGGGGAGUACGACCGCAAGGUUGAAACUCAAAGGAAUUGACGGGGGCCCGCACAAGCGGUGGAGCAUGUGGUUUAAUUCGAAGCAACGCGAAGAACCUUACCAGGUCUUGACAUCUUUUGAUCACCUGAGAGAUCAGGUUUCCCCUUCGGGGGCAAAAUGACAGGUGGUGCAUGGUUGUCGUCAGCUCGUGUCGCGAGAUGUUGGGUUAAGUCCCGCAACGAGCGCAACCCUUAUGACUAGUUGCCAGCAUUUAGUUGGGCACUCUAGUAAGACUGCCGGUGACAAACCGGAGGAAGGUGGGGAUGACGUCAAAUCAUCAUGCCCCUUAUGACCUGGGCUACACACGUGCUACAAUGGAUGGUACAACGAGUUGCGAGACCGCGAGGUCAAGCUAAUCUCUUAAAGCCAUUCUCAGUUCGGACUGUAGGCUGCAACUCGCCUACACGAAGUCGGAAUCGCUAGUAAUCGCGGAUCAGCACGCCGCGGUGAAUACGUUCCCGGGCCU
rnacentral:rRNA from 1 species